rnacentral:piRNA from 1 species
UCCUUGCAUUCGGGACCAAAGAGGCCAUC